rnacentral:misc_RNA from 1 species
UUUCCGUAGGUGAACCUGCGGAAGGAUCAUUAAUGAGUUGUCAUGGGGUUCGAUGCUGGCAGCCAAUUUUUGGAUGCAUGUGCUUGCCCUAACAAUCAUCUUCCAAACACCUGUGCACAUUUUUGAGGGAGUCUUGAGUUGGUUGCCGCUCUUGGGUGAUUUUCUCACAUUCCCUUAAAUCAUUAUACGCUAUUAACAAUGUUGAACGUGCUCUGUGCCGCAAGGCUAUUAAUAUAAUACAACUUUUAACAACGGAUCUCUUGGCUCUCGCAUCGAUGAAGAACGAGC